UGGGGGAAGUGAACCUUUUAUUCCUCCAACACCUAGUGCCACCAAAUAGAGGCCGGUGAAUAACAUUAUAGCUUUCCCCCUGUCAACUUUCUCACAUUUUACGUUUCGGUCUACUAAAGGGCAUACUGGCGGUUUCAGUGAAGGUAUUUGAGCUUGCACUGUGAGUAUUACCAAACCCUGUUCAUAUAUUUAGAGUCAGUCAAAAAUAUGUUAUAUGCCUCACAUGGCUCAGUAAUGAUCUGCAUUGUUGAUGGACUUUAGUCCUGUUUUAUGUUAAUCCAGUGUGAAGAACCAAUGAAAUUGUGCAUUUCCCUAUUCUGAAUUACCAAUGACAAUGACAUCUGUCAUAUUCAUGGAUAUUAGCGUUGAAAUUGAUAGUGCACUACUUACAUCUCAACUCUCAAGCAUUAUAAAGAGCAAUAGGUAUAUGAAGUACUAGCAAUCCACAAAUUUUGAUUGGACAGAAACUCGUGACAAGGGUCUUGAACUUUUAAUAUCUUACACCUUCCACUCUCAGUUGUCAUUUAUGGAAAUUAUGGUUAAGUUCUUGUUUUCGCUAAAAUAUUUGUGUGUUGUUGUGUAUUAGCUAGGUAAAACAUUUUGAUGUAAUAUUCUUGCUUGCUAUUUCCUUGAAGUAAUCCAGUAUAUAAUUGUAAUUUGUCUCUGCAUGGGGUCAUAGCACCUGAAGUAAGACAAUAAUAUGCCCAUAGAGGAGGCUAUCUAAUUCGUUUUUGUUUCCAGUUAUGCCGGUACUGCCUCUGAAAUGAAACAGCCUUGCUUCUUAAACCUGCACUUGAUGAACCUUAUUUAUGCCUUGCCAUGUGACAGUUUAUAUGAUGUAGAUCUUAAUAAUACUCUUCGAAGACUUAUUAUAAUCUUUUCAUUCACAUCUUUUGCAGAAGAAUACGAAAUGUUUUCUGAAGUUAUUUUAUUGAGUAUUAAAAUUAAGGAUUUUGAAUAGACGUGUUGUGUAAUAUUAGCUGUGAGGCUGGGUCCUAUUCUUACCAGAAAUUCUGUCAUUGCACUUAUUAUAUAGAUGCGAUACGUGGUGAAGUAGGCGUCAGAUAAGAAGCCUCCAAGGAGAGCGAGGAGGAAGGCCGUGCCCAUGAAAUUUGUGACAAUGUUGGCUGAGCUUGAUGGAGAGAAGUGCAUGAAUCUUGACAAAUAAAGAACCAAGUUGCUCGCAUUGGCCAGGUAUGCUAGGUUCUCCAAGACCUCCACAACUAAAAGUUUGCAACAGGAAGUAAAUUGGUAAUCAAGUUCAUGCUCAUGUUUAGACCAGACUGGGAAGUUAUUAUCAAAAUUUUAGCUCAUUUCUCUUGUUUAAUAUUGUCCAGUUUUGUCCAUUCUAGUAUACCAAACGGGCGUGGUUACUGUGUGAAAAGUAAUAAAUGUGACUUUAGAGACUAACCUAAGAUGAAAGAGGCAGCAAGCAUGCCUCCAUGACGGCCUUUUAUGGCCGAUCUAUUUCUCCAAUCUAUGUAGCCAUCCCACCUGUUCGAAUGCUGCCCCUGCCCAUUAUCCUGCAGCAUUCGCAAAGGAAAAAUUGAAUAUCGUUUUGAUGAUGAAGAUCCUUUAAUGAAAAAGAAAAACAUAUACAGAAAAUUCAGCAGAGUGAACCAUCUCUAUUUCCGACAUCUAUGGAAUCUCUUGCUAUGUGAACCCUGAUCAGAAACUGUUCAGCCUAAGCAGCAUCUGUGCAGGAGUUGCAUAUUUAAAUACUGAGAGAAUAUGGUUGUCCUACCUCAAUGGAAAAACCUAGAUUCCUUGAAAGUGACUUUACAUUCUCACAUCCUAUUUUCCUAAUUAUGAUGUAGUUGUCUUUAAGCGUUGGUUUGUCUUGAGAGUGGGGGCACAGAGAGAUAUAGAGAUUUCUUUAAGUUUAUAUAUAUAUUUUUAUUUAUUUAUUUAUUAUUAUUAUUUUUUUUGUUGUUGGAGCAACUCGCUCCAAAGAUUGUCAAAUCAGUGUUUUUUGGACUUAGUUUCACAUCACAUUUCUCUACCUAACAAUCAAUCCAAACUACUUCAAUCCACAAUUAAAAUAUUCACCUCGGUUGCUUCUCAAUCUCACCCACAAAUGACAAGAUAACGGUAAUAAUUGGUAGCUACAAAGACAAGAAGAAAACGCCACAAAAUGAGGCAAGGAAGAGACCACAAAGUGAAAGGGAAGUCACCGGUUUUGGCACCAUAAAGGCACCCUGUUUUGCUGUUCUAUGGCAGCCAUGUUUUCUCCUCUCAAACACACAAAUCACAAACUAAAAAAUGGCUAGGGCAAGCGCAUAUAACUAGGGUUAGGUUAGGCUUUUAGUUGGACUAAUAACAAGGCUAAAUGGGCUAAGAUUGAAAGCCAGAGGUAAUAUAAAUGGGCCGGAUAGAGCCUUUGGAUUUGGUUGUUAAUGACUAUUUCACUCGCUGGUCGAGGUCUAUGAAAUAUAGUCCCACGUUUAACAUCAUAGUUCAAGAUUUAUUGGGUAUCAAAAUCCAACAUUUUUGUACAAAAGAAAAAUAAUAAUAAUAAUAAUACUAAUAAUAAUAAUAAUAAUAAUAAUAAUAAUAAUAAUAAUAAGUAGAGAAGGGGAAAAUCAAGUUCAUUUGAAACUUCAAUGAUGUAUUUUCAUAAUCAUUAGUUCAUGAGAAGUGAGGCUUUGGAGGAAAACUAGGUGAAAGUUACUAAGCUUAAUAGCUUGAUGAUCAAUUAAACAAAUGAUGGUAAUGCUGCAAGUUGAUAAUCUACAUAACUUUGAAUCUGGACCUGCGCCACAAUCUCUUUUCCUAUAUUGGUGGCAGCGAUUUUAAGAGAUUAGAACUGUCCUAAUUACAUUAAUCCUAGUCUGAUAUUUCCUAUAACAGAAAAACACACUUUCUUUAUGUAAUCAGGAAAGAUUAUCCAAUUUUUUGGGAGCUGAGCUACUUGCAGAUUUACUACUUACUUAAGAAAAAAGAACCUAGGUGACGGUUAUAAGUCAUCUUCCAGUUCACGUGGCCUUUUGUUCUUUACCAUGUUCUCAGGUAGCUUUCAACACCUACAAAUUUCUUCAUGCUACUGGAGUCAACUGAUAAAUGUCUUGCUCAUCUUGUGGUGUAAAUUGCUUCAUCGUUUUCCUUUCUGGGCCAAUGAAAUGAGUGGAUGCUACAUUGCUAAUGAAGCUGUGAAAGUGCAGGAUCUACGCGAUCAGCAAAUUUUGGUGGUUGAGUAUUACAUAUCAUUCAUUUUCAUGCACUUCUUAGUCCGAAAAUUUGGAUAGUUCAAUGCGUCUUUUUAAUUUAGUUGUGUAUAGUCUCUUUAAAGAGUUUUUUGUAGUUCUAUUACUAUAGAUCACAUGUUAGUGGCCCCACUAUUGAAAGGGCUAGAAAGGCUUAAGUAAAUAUCAGUAUAAUUGUACCACGUUGAGAAUUUGAUCUCUAUGUUAAGGACAGGAGGUCCUAUCGAUA
rnacentral:lncRNA from 1 species